rnacentral:lncRNA from 1 species
CUCUAAAUGAUGUUGCUGACUGAGGUUUUUUUAAACAUUAUAAAACAGAAGAUGGAUCGUGGUAAAGCCAAACAUUGGAGCAAUGAAAGAAAUAGCUAUUAAUAAUCUCACCUAUAAUAAAAGAAAAUAGCUACUAUGAUUCUUAUUUGUCAUAGUUAUGCUUUCUGUACUAAUGUCCAGUGAUAUGUGAACUUGGUAGAACAAUUAUAAUUUCCAUUCCUUAAUGUUGUUCUUGAACUCGAUUGUUAUACUAAUGUAUUUUUAUAUCUAUUUUAUAUACACCAAGAUUAUGGCACCUAAUAAGCAAUGGAUGAAACUCAUUAAAAAUCAACUUUCUAAUGCUUACAUAGAUGAGGUGGAAAUUUUUUUGGAUUAUGCUUUUAGAAAAUUUGGAGAACCCCAGUUGAUAAGUUGUCCAUGUAUCAAAUGUGGUAAUGCAAAUUCUAGAUUAUGUGGGAUGGUUAGGUCACAUUUAAUAGUACUUGGGAUAAUACCAAGUUAUACUCUUUGGUAGUUGAUUAACGUUUCAAGGAUACUUAAUCCAGUUCUAAGCGUCAACGAUCGUUAGUCAGCAUAUAACCCAACUAAAUGACUACGGGUCGAUCCCACAGAGAGUAACUUUUCCUUCGAAUUCAAUUAUGAAAGUAUGACAACAAUCUCUUCAAUUGAACACUUACUGCACCUUUUUAAUUUAAGCUUCAAAUCUCAGGUUGUAAUUAUCAAUCCAAUUCAACACUUAACACCAAACGAUCAAUUAGUGAGGUAACACUUGGGGAAUUGACCAACCAAUUAUUGAAUUUAACUUAGUGGAUGAACAUCGAUGCUCACAAUAGGAUUAAUUGUCGUGGGUAGGUUGGACUAUAUGUAAAGCAAUUUUCUCUCGAACAAUUACCUUAUCUUUGUUGAAUUCUCUCGAACUUCAACACUAGUCAGAAGAUACCCAGCCCUCGUCCUCAUCAAAUCCACUCUCUCGAGCAAGAUACAAAGGAUAAAUCUCAUGUUUCACUUUCUCAAGCUGAAAUCAUGGUGACCCACUACUAAGGAUGCUAAAUUUGUUACUUUAGCUUUGCACUUCUCUCUCGAGCUAGCACAAAACACUGAACUUGUUACACUAAUCAUGUAAGACGACCUCAAAACACAACAACAAUUAAGAGGCACUUCAAAUUAACACCAUUAUUCGCAAAUCAAUGACACCCACUUAGUAAAACUCAACAAUUGGUCACAUAGUCAAAACCCCAAGGAGGGGGUUUUAGCCAAUCAUAGCAAAAAGAGGAAAAUCAAUAUCUGCCAUGAUUUCCAUAGAUGGGUAAACACGAAAAUUGAAAGUUAAAGUUAACUAGAAAUUUCCUGAUUUUCACAACCUCUUCUGUUUUUGACCUCAAAGUUGAAUUCUUGCAAUAAAAGCACCACCUUAUCAAUCUUGGCUUGGCAUUCCUCUUUGCCAUCAAGUAACGCAGUGCAACAUGAUCAGUGUGAACAAUCACUUUAGUACCUAGCAAGUAUCCUCAGAACUUCUCAAACACAUAAACUACCGCAAGUAACUCUUGUUCAGUAACUGUACAGUUACGUUGAGCACUGUUUAGAGUUUUGCUUGCGUAGUAAAUGGGGUGAAAAAGUUUGUUGCAUUUUUGCCCCAAUACAACACCUAAUGUCGUGCCGUUUGCAUCACACAUUACUUUGAAAGAUUCUGACCAAUCAGGACUAAUGAUGAUCGGGGUGGAAACCAAUUUUUCUUUCAAGCACUUGAAAACUACCAUUGCAAGCAUCAUCAAAGUGGAAUUUCACCUCCUUCUCCAAGAGUUUGCAUAGAGGAUGCGCAAUCUUUGAGAAGUCUUUGAUGAACCUCCGGUAAAAACUGGCAUGUCCAAAGAAACUAUGAAAACCCUUUACCGAAAUUGGUGAUGGUAACCUUUCAAUCAAUUGAAUGUUUGCUUUGUCAACCUCCCACCCCUUUUGCGACACUUUGUGACCAAGCACUAUACCUUCCUUAACCAUGAAAUGACAUUUUUCCCAAUUUAGGACUAAAUUUGUCUCCACACAUCUUUGGAGAACUUGUCCUAAGUGCUCUAAACAUGCUUCAAAAGUGUCACACACAACCGAGAAGUCAUCGAUAAAUACUUCCAUUGAAUCCUCCACCAUGUCAGCGAAAAUAGAUAUCAUGGAACGUUGAAAUGUAGCCGGCGCAUUACAUAAUCCAAACGAUAUCUGGUUGAAGGCAAAAGUACCAUAUGGGCACGUAAAGGUUGUUUUACCUUGGUCUUUCGGAGCAAUGGAGAUUUGGUUAUAACCGGAAUACCCAUCCAAAAAGUAAUACCAACCUAUCUCGGAGAGUCGAUCAAGCAUUUGAUCCAUAAAGGGUAUGGGGAAAGUGAUCCUUUUCGGUCCACAAAUUUAACAUUCGGUAAUCCAUGCAUACUCUCCACCCGGACACCGGUCUUAAAGAUACAAGAUCCCCUUUUUCAUUUGGGACUACCGUGAUGCCUCCCUUUUUUGGUACAUAUUGUAUCGGACUUACCCAUUUGCUAUCCGCAAUAGGGUAUAUCACACCUGCAUCUAACCACAUUAUUAUCUCCUUUUUCACCACCUCUUGCAUCGGUGGGUUCAAUCUCCGUUGAUAUUCAACACUUAGCUUACAAUCACUAUCAAGCUGAAUUUUGUGAGUGCAAAUACCGGGAGGUAUGCCCACUAUGUCAGCGAUAGUCCACCCUAUAGCUUUGAUAUGCCUUCUCAACACCUCAAGGAACAAUUUUAUGUGCCAAUCAAGCAAAUUUGCUGCAAUGAUCACCGAUAAGGUGUUAUUUUCCUCCAAGAAAGCAUAUCGAAGAUGGGAGGGAAGUACUUUCAACUCUAGAUUUGGUGGUUCUUCUGUUGAUGACUUUGCGGAAGGACUUUCUUGAUUUUGUAAAUCAAUGUCCAACUUCAACGGAGUCUUUGAAUACCCCCUAAACUUGAUAGAGCCACUACUACCUCUUCAUAGCCUUGAAUUUCGAACCCAUCAUAGUUAGCAAGCAUGGCUUCAAGUGGCUCACUCAUACAUAUCAAAUGGCUCACACUAGCCACUGCCUCAUCAAUAACAUCAAUAGUGGAGACCACGUGAAUAUCACUUGGGCGUUUCAUCGACUUACACACAUUAAAGGUUACUUCAUCUUCAUUCACUCGAAACUUCAAUUCUCCGCUCUCAACAUCCACCAACGCUCUUUCGGUUGCCAAGAAUGGUCUUCCCAAAAUGAUGGGAAUUUCAGCAUCUAUUUCACAAUCGAGAAUGACGAAAUCAGCCGGGAAAAUAAAUCUGUCAACCUUUACGAAGAUGUCAUAUAAUAUCUCCACAAGGUGUUUAAUUGAUUGGUCCGCCAUCAAGAGUCUCAUUAUUGUGGCUUUCGGUUCCCCCAACCCAAGUUGUUUAUAGAUCACAUAUGGCAUUAGGUUGAUGCAUGCUCCCAAAUUGCAUAGGGCUUUAGCAAAUUGGAGCAUGCCGAUGGUGCAAGGGAUGGUUAACGCUCCAGGAUCUUCUGUCUUUUUUAUCAGCUCCUUAGUCAUAAUUGCGUAACUAUGGGAGACUUCGAUUGUCUCAAAAUCCAAAUUCCUUUUCUUUGUGACUAACUCCUUCAUAAACUUGGCAUACCCUGGCAUUUCCAACAAUGCUUCCACUAGAGGAGAUUAAUUGAUAAUGUCUUGAACACCGAUAAAAACUUCUUGAACUUCUCAUCCUCAUUCUUCGUCUUUAGAUGUUGAGGAAAUGGAGGAGAUAUUUUUGGUAAAGUUUGCAUAACUUUUGGGCUUUGAUUGUGUUUCUCCAUAUCCUUUUGUGGUCCUUUGGAAAUGCUUUGAUGGAUAUGUGCCUCUUCUUCCUCGAUCCCUUUGUCUUCUUCAUGAAUUUGAACUUCUUCAUUUCCUGUUACAUCACUUAUUGCCACCUUUCCACUUUGAGUAACCAGAUUCAGCUCUAUAUCAUCAUCUUUCAUUAUCGUUUUUGGUUUCAAUUGUGCUGAAAGUGAACUCAACUGACCUUCAAGUAUCUUGAUUGCAUCUGCAUGAGAGUUCACUUUAUUUUUAAUGAUGAAAAGUCAACUUUUAUCCUUUUUAACAAGUCAUCUGAAACUUCGACUUUAUCAAGGAUGUAUGACAACAAAUCAUUCACCCGUGGACUACUUGCACUCCCUCUGGAUUUUGGGCUCUCACUUGAGUGAGUGUGGUCCUCUUCAUGGUCCUCUUCCCUUUUCCAAUGGUCACUAUGCUCGGCCCAAUCUUGAUAGUAUCUUCUUUGCUCUUCCCCCUUGUGAUAGUUCCAACCUUGAUUCCCGCCCUGUUGUAAAUAGCGUGGGUGUAAACCCUCCUCGUAUCUCUUGGAGUUCCAACCUUGAUUCUCCCCUGGCUUUGAAUAACCGGAGGAAGAACCCUCCUCAACUCUAAACACCCCACUUGCCCGCUUGGGCUUUUCCACAUUCUCCAUCAUAUGCUCUUGUAAUAGCUCUAUUUGGGUCAACAUCUUCUUGAUGUUUUCAUCCCUAUCUCUUUCCUUAUCAAGUUGUUCUUGUGUCAUUCUAAAACAAAAUGGGGAGACUUGAUCCUCUUGGGUGUACCACGCUUGAUUUAUUUUAGUCAUGUCAUCAAGAAGAAAUGAAGUCACCUCAAAUGAUUGCAACAUUAUUCCCCCUUGUACCAAUUGAUCAGCCACCCCUUUAUUAACCGAAUCAAGACUCAGGUAAAAAUAUUGGAGUAGCAAAUCAUUUGGUUGCCCGUGAGUUGGGAAUUUAAGUAAGAGUUUCUUAAACCUUACCCACAUGUCAUACAUAGGUUCACCCUCCCAUCGCUUGAAACAUUGAAUGUCGUCUCUAAGCUUCAUCAUCCUUGAUGGGGGAAAGAAUCUUGUAUUGAAUGCUUUAAUCAAUUCCUCCCAAGAUGUGAUGGAAUUGUUUGGUAACUCGACCAACCACUUGCUAGCCACCCCGUCAAUGAUAGUGGAAAUAAUCGAAGUCGGAUUGACUCUUGUGACACAUUUUGGAAUGACAACGGGUUGCACACCUCUGUAAAACUUCUUACAUGCUCAUGCGGGUCUUCGUGUGCUAGACCUCGACGUCCCAUUUCAUUCCCAUCAAGGUUUCCUAUAUGGCGGAAGAUUACGCUAAGCUAUAUUUGUGAGAGAGAUGGUGAGGUUUCAUGGGGUGCCCUUGUCAAUUAUCUCCGAUAGAGGUACUCAAUUUACUUCUCAGUUUUGAAAGUCUUUCCAAAAGGGUCUUGGCACUAAAGUUAAGCUUAUUACAAAUUUUAACCCCCAAACCGAGGGGCAAAUGGAAAGAACAAUCCAAACAUUGGAAGAUAUGUCAAGGGCUUGAGUGAUUGAUUUCAAGGGAAAUUAGGAUGACCAUUUGCCUUUAAUUGAAUUUGCCUAUAACAAUAGCUACCAUUCCAGCAUAGGUAUGGCUCCAUUUGAGGCCCUUUAUGUUAGGAGGUGUAGAUCUCCUAUAGGAUGGUUUGAGGUGGGUGAGGUUGCUUUGAUAGGACCUGAGUUAGUUCAUGAAGCUAUUGAGAAGGUUCGACUAAUUAGAGAGGUUGAGAAUGGCCCAAAGUCGACAAAAAUCUUAUGGCGAUGUUAGAAGAAGGAAACUUGAAUUUGAUGUGCUUGAUUGUGUUUAUUUGAAAUUCUCACCCAUGAAGGGUGUAAUGAGAUUUGGAAAGAAAGUGAAACUUAGUCCCCAUUUUGUAGGCCCAUACCAAAUUUUGAGAUGUGUUGGUAAGGUUGCAUAUGAGCUUGAUUUGCCAAAUGAGUUGGCAUCGGUGCAUCCGGUUUUCCAUGUAUGUAUGUUUAAAGAGUGUGUUGGAGAUUCGACAUCCAUAGCUCCCCUAGAAGGGUUGGGAGUGAAAGAGAACCUUUCCUAUGAAGAAGUUCCGGUUGAGAUUCUAGACAGGCAAGUUAAGAAAUUGAGGAAUAAAGAGGUUGAUUCCGAGAAAGUGUUAUAGAGAAACCAUCUAGUUGAGGGUGGUACUUGGGAGACCGAGAGCAGAUAUGAUGUCCUGGUAUCAUCACCUUUUUCACCCUAUUCUAGCUUGAGGUAAUGAGUUCCUCUUGGUUUGCUUAUGUAUGAAGUCAUGUGCGUUUAUGUGUUUUCAUGAUUUCCUUAAAUUGCAUGUUCAUGAAGAAGCUUAUAAUUUGAAUGAAAAAUGGCUUAUAUGAAUUGUUUUCCUCAUGUUGUUGUGCAUUGAGAAUAAGUUGCCUAUAGACUUCAUGAGAUGAGUUGAUGAACAUGUUUCAGCUAUGAUUUUUGAGAUUGAAUUGCAUAUGAGCUCUAUGAGAUAGUGUUGAACAUGUUUUAAGUUUGGAGAUGACAAUACCUCCUUGAAGUAAGAAAUUUGAAAUUUCAUGCAUAUUGGGUUGUUAAAUGUAGUUCCUACUUCCUUAUGGUGCAUUAAGUAUGUUUGGCUUGGAGAUUAUGUUUCCUCCUUAGUGGAAAGCAUUUUGAUAAGUUGCAUGUAUGAUGGGCUGCUAGUCUAGAGUUUUUGUCUAGAAAUGUGCUUAGAAUCUCAUUUGAGGACGAAUGAUCCCAAAGGGGAGAUAAUGCAACACCCCAGAUUCAAAAUGAGGCAAAUAACAACGUUUGGGAAAACUGUAGGUGCUGACCAAUGGUGGCCAACCAUGAGCAGUGGUUGGGACCACGGACCGUAGGUGGGUCCGUGGUUGGGCAUCUCAGGAAACCCAGGUUAGGGUGACGACGGGACCCAUAAACCGUAGGUCCAUCGAUGCCUCGUCGUCCCUGCAACUAUCGUUUGUCCAAAAUUCUCUAACCAAGAACCAGGACUGAACAGGUCGGACCGUAGGCCAGUCGACGGUCCGUUGGUCGGGGAUCCGUGGUUCACGGUAGGAAAUUUAUUUUAAGGGCACAUGGGUCUUUUCUAGUUUUAGUUAAAUCAAUGUGGUGUUCUUUUGCCUAAGUCUAAAACACCUAUAUAAGUAUUUUUAACUCCCAAAACCCCUCACUCAAGUCAUUUUGUAGAUUCCCGAAAAGAAAACCCAAAUCCUCUCUCAAAUAUUCUCUCUCUAGAAGGUGGAAGAAGAAGAAGGAGAUUGAAGCAAGGUCAAGAUCAAGUCUCCCAAUCUUCAAGCUUUUGUGGGCAUUGUGACUAAGGUAUGCUGGCUUUUCAUCUAUGGGAUGCUUACUCCCAUGGAGUCCUUUAGAAUUCCACAAUUUGAAGAAGAAUCUACCCAAUUCUAGUUAAGGUUUCUUCCAAUGUUGUGGUUUAUGUUGAAUGUUGAUCCAAUUGAGUGUAUUAUGAUUGUUUACAAUUUAAUUGGUAGGAUUACAUGUUUUUAGGAUGAAAUUACAUGUACCCAUGCCUAUUUCGUGAUUUGACCUACAAUUGAUAUAAUUGGGUUUGAUGCCUUGAGGGAAACCUUAUGGGUUUUGAUAUCUCCUUAUAGGAUUGAUGAAUUAUGACUAGAAUUGCUUGAAAUUGAAUCAUAUAUGCUGAAUAUGAUGUUAAUUGCUUGAGAAUAAAGCUUAGAUGAUGAUCAUGAGAAUUAGGGCUUUGAGAGUAAAGCUUAUGAUAUGAAUUGUUGGUAAUUGAUGUUACUGUUAAGGAAGGGAUACUUCCCACUUGAAUUUUUUUAAUUAUGAAUGUGUGACUGUGAAAGUCUUACUCACAUGAAUGAUUCUAGGUUGAAAGGAUUGCUCACCUAAAAUGAAUUUAGACUAAAAGCUUAUGAAAUUGAUGAGGCUAGAGGCGAUUACCCUUGACCUCCUUAUGUAAGGUUAUGAGGUGAUUCCCAUGCUCCUUAGAAUUGAACAAGAGGUGAGUCCCAACGUUCUUACUAUGAUGAAUCGACAUGGAGGCGAGUGCUCAUGAUCCUUAUGAAUUGAUGUGGAGGUGAGUACACGUGUCAUAUGAUGAGAUUGUGGAGGCGAGUACCCACGAUCUAAAAGUAAGUAAGGAAAGAGACAAAUACCCAUUAGCCUUUAUAAUCUAGGCAUUUAGGCAAAUCCUUAUGUCUUUAAAAGUAAGUAUGAAUAAUGUAAUUAUGUUAUGAGGAUGAUUUGAUUGGAGUGUUGCUAGAUAUGCCUUCCAUGAUGCAAGCUUGACUAGAGGCAGAUGACCUAUGUCUUGGCUAAGGAUAAGUAAGGUUACUGAAGGAAGUAUUCCUUUUUUAUUAUAAUGUUGAUUAUGUCUUAUUUAUGUUUAUGCCUUAUGUCGUAUGUUGACUAAUGCUUAUGUUAUGUUGUUGAUGCUAGCCAUCAUAGUUAGUACUUGAUUGUACUAACGCACACUCUUGGUUACAUUUUUAUCAAAUGUAGGGUCCGGCGACAUUGAUUCUCACACUCUUGGCUAGCUUUGUUGUUGAUCAAGAAAGUGAAGUUUUGGUGAGUCCUCAUUGUGCUCGAGGAGGUGAUCACCACUUUCUUUUAUGCUUUCCCUUUAUGUCUUGGACUAUUGUAUGGACUGUGACCCAAGACAUUAUUCAUGUUGUUUAGAUGGUUUGAGACAAAUAUGUUAGACUUAUGCUCGUUUUAUGAAAGAAGUUGAUUGCAUUGAAAGGUUUUAAAUUGUCGCACAUUUUCUAUUACUUUAUGUUAUGAUAUCCUAAGUGGCUUGUAUGAGGCCUCUCGGGGUCUUAUAAGCCUUGGUACAUCUAGGGGUACCCCUGGGUUGUGACAGAUGUAUGGGGUCUUGACUUCAUGGGUCCGUUUGUCAGUUCGAGUGGGAUGAAGUAUAUUCUUGUAGCGGUUGACUAUGUGCCAAAAUGGGUGGAAGCGGCAGUGCUUUUCAACUAUGAAGGAAAGAGUGUCACCGCAUUUCUGAAAAAGAAUAUAUUCUCCAUAUUUGGUACACCAAGGGCAAUUACUAGCAAUUGAGGUUCUCAGUUUUAUAAUAAGUUAUUCAAGGUGUUUCUUGAAAAGUAUGGUGUUCGUCACUAUGUAGCAACUCAUUUUCAUCCGCUGUCUAACGGGCAACUUGAAGUGUCAAAUAGAGAAAUCAAGUAAAUCCUUGCUAAGACUGUCAAUGCAAAUAGAACUGAUUGGUCAAGAAGACUUGAUGAUGCUCUAUGGCCUACCGCUCAAGACUCCCAUAGGUAUGUUCCCUUACCAACUUGUAUAUGGUAAAUCAUGGCAUUUCCCUGUAGAAUAGAACACAAAGCGAUGUGGACACUCAAGAAGCUAAAAUUGGAUUGGGGUGCCGCAUCAAGUCAAAGAUUGAAUGAGAUGAAUGAGCUCGAUGUGCUUCACCUAAAAGCGUAUGAAAUUUCAGCCUUGUACAAGAAGAGGAUGAAGAAGUAUCAUGAUCAAAACAUCGAUAAAAGCAAAAAAUUUCCAAGUGAUCUGGUACUCCUAUUCAACUCAAGGUUGCGCUUGUUUCCUAGAAAGCUCAAGUCCAAGUAGACCGGGUCAUUCAAAGUGACUCAAGUAUUUCCACAUGGAGAGAUUGAACUAGAGAAUAAUGACGGAAUGAGGUUCAAGGUGAACGGUCAGCGGAUAAAGAUCUACUUGGGGAAAUCUGAGAAUGUUAAAGAGGUGAUAGAAAAAUUGAGCCUUGAUGAAGUCUGAGUAAUCAAGAUGUCUGUGUCAUGCCACGACGUUAAAUCAAGCGCUACUUAGGAGGCAACCCAAGAUGUAAAAUCAAGCCAAUUUUAGGACUGUUUAUUGAUUUUUAUGAAUUUUUAGCAUUUUUUUAUUUUUAUCAUAUUUAUGAAAUUUUAGUGAUUGGGUAGACUAUGGUAGAAUAGAGUCCUUGUUUGGAAAGAGUCAAGAAAAAUGUAAAAAGGAAGCACUAAUGUUUGCGACGUGUGUAGGAAAGCAAAGAAAAAUCUUCGAAAUAUGUGCCGGUGCAGUGGUCUACGAUUUCCAUAAACGGUCCGUUAGACAGUCGACGGAUCGUAGAUGGCAUCUGUAGAUCCCAUGUAUGUUCUCAAAUUUCACUAAGUGUUAUGGUGAACAACGGAACCCAUCAAUGGACCAUCGAUUGACUCACGGACUGUCGAUAAGGUUUCAUGGGUCCGAGUUAGGGUUAACAGUUGACCCGACCCACGACCGAAAUUAAUAAAAUACCUUUCAUUUUAAACAUCCCCUAUUUCCCUCUUUCUUCCCAAACGGUUACAACUCUCUAAAUAACCAAUUCUACCCUUUCCCAACCCUUCAAUCCCUUUCAAACCACCUAUAAAUCCCCUUCAUUAUCUAUUCUCUCCAAAUUCAAUCCUUACAUUUUCCAUUUUCUUCCCUCUCCCAAAAAUCUGUUUUCCUUGCACAUGUUGUGGAUUCAAUGUCAAUACGUUCUUGGGUGUAAGGAAUCUCUAAGAACACACUCACAAACUUUGCAAUCACUUGUAAGGUAAUUUCUUUCAAAAGUUGAACUAUUCAUUAUUUAGUUGAAAUUGCAAAGUUGCACUUCACCUUGUGUAUGAUCUAUCUGUUAAAUUUCGUAAAUAUAGUUCUAAAUUACCCUUGGGACUAUGGUGUUGUGAGUGUGUUCAGUAAUUUGAAUGAUACAUGUGAAUCUAAGUCUAGUUGGGAUCUUAUCUUAGGGUUUCGGUUCAAGUUAGAUUUUAAGUAUUAAUUGGGUGUUUGGAACAGUAGGGGUGAUAGAAAAUCAUGUUAAUGUGUUUUAAUGCAUGUUCUAGACAUAGCAUAGGUGUUAAGCUUUCUGUUGAAAAUUGUUAAAUUCUAAGUGAGAGCCCAGUUGCAACAAGUACUGGUCGACGACUAUGACCCACUGGCCGUGGGGCAAUGUACGGACCGUAGGUCUAGGUCCGUUGAUCCAAUGCACAAUUCAGUGGCAUUAGUUGUUAACCACGAGCUGGGUUACGGUCCGUCGUUCAAAUGACAGAUCAUUUUGGUGGAUCGUGGUUCCAACUUUAUAGUUCUAAAAUUGACUUCCUGACCAAUGAUGGGCAUUCACAGUCCACCAUUCAGUCGACGACCCAUAGGUACCUACCAUGGCUCUAAAAAAAUUUACAGCCCAAAACAUUUUCUAAGUUCAAAUGAUGUUGCAAUUUUUUUCUUAGGUUGUUUUUAUUUCUUUGAAUACUAACAAGUCCCUUAUGGCUCCGUCCCGUCGGUUGAUAGAGGAGUCAGGUGGAGAGGAGUACGCACCAGAGCACACUAGAGGCUCCCCCGAUGCUCCUUUGUCCACGAGGCUGUGAAAUAGGAAACCGUUGGUGUCCGAUGAGGAGAGAUUAUCAAGUCAUGAAAUUAGCCGUAGUUUGAGGAGGGGACCAGCUUCCGAGAUAGUCGUAAUCCUUCUCUAGUUCCAGCGGUACACAAGCCUUAGCAUCUGAUGCCAAUAGCUCUAGUGAGGCUCUUGACUCCCCCGGCAUACCAAUGCAUCUUAUAAUCAGAUGAUUUCCCGGAUAGUUUCUGAGGAUCACCGGGUUCUUACUAGGAGCCUUCACACUGUGCCUACUAUUCAUGAGCUUUUAAAGAAGCACAGAUGUGACUGGAUGGCGGAGAGCUUGUUCAAGUACAGUGAGGAGAUGGUGAGGGAUUUUAUGCUUCCUAUGCAUCUACAGUGCAGAAUGAUAUGCCACCACAAGUUAUGCCAUUAGUUCAACCUCCUCUACAAGCCACAUUGGCACAUGGUUUCUUUUUUGAAAUUUUAGAGACCACUGAUUAGUCCACAAAUUGGACUCAUUUAGGGCUUUAUAUUGAUAGAAAUAGUGUCCUCAAAUGCUAAUUUUGUCUCAAUAUCUGAUUAAAACUCUUAAGUUUCAGGUAUUUGAAGCGAAAGCAUGGAAACUUAGGCGCAAAAAGGAACAAAAAGUCUGAAAAGAACGAAGAAGUUGAAGCGUGAGCAUCGCCAAGGAUACUUGGUGAUUUGCCGAAGGGACGCACUCUGCCCUUUGUUCCAGUACGCGAAGCCUUGAAAGAGCUGGAUCAAAAAGGCGAUGAAAGGAGCAGUCAGCGCUUCACCGAAUAGUUACGCGAAGCAGUACUAUGUUGCCCAAUGACAUAGAGCACGACAAUGCUGAAGGCUAGUGCAAGACUACGACGAACUACACCAAAGGGUGAAUCGCCGAGUUUAUCGGCGAUUUCAACUAACCUAGUCAAAAGAUCCGCCAGCACUAUUUUCUGAAGUCUAUAAAUACUAAACUUGUUAUUAAUUUUUAAGAGUCGAACAUUUAUUUUAAUUUUCACAAUAGAACAGUACUUUUUUGGAUAUUUUCUCUCAAGUUUGGAAAGGGAUUUUUGGGAGACUUGAAAAAAAGAGGAUUUCAUCUUCCCCAAGUUGGAAGUGGGUCUUCUCCAUUCUUCUUCCUUUUCUUAAAUCAAGGUUGAAUUUCUUAUUUCCAUUUGAUUUUUAGUAUAAUUUUAGGUGUAUUUUGUUAUAUCUUGAUGUGUGGCUAAAAACCCCAUUCUUGGGGUGUGAUUUAGCAACUAUGUGUUGAUAUUGUUGUUGGGUCUUGCUUGCUGAUAGGUUAGAUGUAUUUUAAUGGUGAUUUCACCUAGUGGUUGUGGUUUAAUUUAAUGGGUUUGUAGUUGCAAAUACAAAACCACCCAUUUGUUUUCGGCAUGCCCGAGAGGGAGGUCUCGAAACCAAGACCACUAGACUGUGGCCUAAGGAGUGGGUCGACAUGAAGUUCAGCCCGAGUGGGUGAUCCCCAGUCCCAUAUCCUAACACUCCGCUCGAGAGAGUGAGUGGGGUAAGGCAUAGGCUGGCCUUCAUGCGACAAAUGGGUGUCCGAGAGGAAGGCUUUUGAAACGGGAUAAGUUGCCCGAAGGGAACUUAUUUCCAUCUAAAGCUUAGCCUAGUCACUAUUAUCUUGCAAAUUUCCUGUCGAAAGCAUGUACCCAAUGAUUUAUCUCAACUUGUAUUGCGGUCACACCCCAAGAACUUGUCCCCAUACUUGAUUUUCUUGUUAUUUUUGUUGUUUUUACUACCUGUCACAAAACCCCCAUUUUAUAUUUGACACCUUUGUGUCACCCCUUUUAAUCUAUAAUAUUUUUAAUCGUUAAUGUCUUUAGCUAUGACUAGUUAGAACUAAAUUUUAUUGUUCUAUUAAUUCUCCAAACCACUCCCUUGGGACACGACCCCAACCCUUGGUUGGGUUACUAUAUUAUCAAUGGUCGUAGACACUGAAACCGUAGGUUAGUGUCGUUGGUCAAGAUAAGCAUCAAAAUAGUGCCGCUGCUGGGGAGUGGUGUUCUUUGAGAAUUUUUAGAUUAAUAGGAUUUUUGUUCUUCUUAGUUGUAGUGUCAUUAACUUUACUUUUAGUUUUGUUUUUUGUUGAGUAGUCCAUUUAGAUGAGCAUGGCUGAGCAGAGUAGUCACAAUUUGGUUGAAAUGAGCCAAGGAGUCCAAAAGCACCUCAUGUUAACCGCACUGGCAUCUCAGCUAAACGACUUGGCCACCAAGAUAUCAGAGGUGGAAAACCAGUGCACAAGUCUUGGGAAGUACAUACCCCCUCAUGAGCGGAGGGAGUCUAGAAACCAUGAACACAGUUGUGUUGAGGAUACACUGCAAAUCAUUCUCCUAAAGGUCACUAAACAGGACCGAGUGAUAAACGAGAUAAAGGAGAACAUUGAAGUGUUGAACCAAAUGGUUGGUUCUCAAUCUAGAUCGAUCUAGCUGAUCAGGUCUCUCUUGAGUUACGUAGUGCCUCCCCUCCACUCAAAUGACCUAUUGGGGUUGCCUGGUAACGCUAGGGUCGACCCCAAUAAGGGAGAUUGAGUAAGGACUUGCAUCGUUCCACGACGUUAACUAAGGUGUUUCUUGGGAGGCAACCCAAGGUGAUGUUUCUUGAAGUUACUUUGUUCGAAUAAUGGUGUGCUGAUUUUGUAGGUUAAAGUGAGAAAAAUGUUGAAAAGUGCAAGUUGGGGAGCCAAGGAUCCAGUUGGCGAAUCACCGAACCUAUCGGCGAUUCCGAUUUAAUCCGCCGUUGUGACCCUAAAAUAAGGGAUGUCCUCUAAAACUUGGCGAGAUGAGUAUGCAUUCGGUGCAUUGCCGAGUUGAUCGGCGACAAGACUAACAUUGCCAAAUGGCUGAGAACUGAAUAGUUAUAUACAGGUCGUAGGUCAAAUUUUUGAAUCUCUCACUUUCCCUUGUUUCAAACUCCUCAAAAUCAUACCAAAGGUACUUUUUCUUAUAUUUUUACCUUAAAUUAGUAUUUUAGUCGGUGACUAGUGCUUGGGGUUGGAUUUCUUUACUACCUAGCGUUUCAAAAAGCAAUUUGAUCAGUAUCAAAGGUUAGUCUCUAAAAUUCUGAACUUAUUUUUGAUAAUUUUGCACUCUCUUGCAGAUAGCAUCAAGAUGAUGUGUGCCGAGCCUCUCCGAUAAAAAUAGGGUGUUGUGAUGCUAUUGCUAAUUCAAAAAUUUUGCCUGAAAUUCUUUAAUAGUCGAAUGCCUUAGUGUUUGUGCUUUGAUUUGAAUGAACUUGAAAUGGGUGUUGCGUAAUCGUUGUUAGGUUGGUUGUGCUAAAUAAUGAAAAUGAAGUGGCCCAUAUUUGUGCUAAAUAACGAAAAUUGCUCAAUGAAGGAAUGGGUGACAACAUUCCUAAGGGUAAUCGUAGUUACAUAGCCAAAUUUGGUAAAACCGAAAGAAGUCUAAGUAUUCCGGGGUGAUGGGAAGUAUGGGUCUUGUGUAAAUUUCAUGUAUGCACGCUUUGAUUUCGUUUCCAGGGCUUGUAAGGUCGAUUCUAAGAAGUGGGUAGAAAAAUACGCACGUUGAAUCAUUCGGCAAGCUGGGUCGUGCUCGCCAAAUGACUCGGCGGUUCGCCUACUAGUCUUAGAUCGCCAUUCAUUCAUGUCCAUAGUGCUGAGAGAUUUGUAACUUUUAGCGAACACAUUUGUGAUAGCCGAAAGUAGUCGGUGACUCGCCGAUAUGACUUUAGACCGUCCUUUACAUGCCCCAUUUGCCCUCUUUCACUGUAUCUUUUGGCGGACAACCUUGUCCUUGCUGAAAGUAGUCGGCAUCUCGCCAAAUAGACUUUUUCAUCUCUAAUUUUCCUUGAUUUCAAGCUAAUCCCUUCGGCGAGUUCGACCUAGCUCGCCAAAGAGAUUUGGUAACUCGUCGAUCCAUCGGCGAGUCCUUCUGCAAUAAGAUUCUCUGUGUUUAUGUUGAGUUUCACCUAAUCUCUUGAUAUUUUGUAGAUAUGGUACGCACAAACUUAAAUGAGCCACCUCAGAAAAAGGCAAAGGGAAUCACAAUCAAUGAAGGAGAAUCACAUCCUUCACCGAAAAGAAAGCAAGAUCUCCCACCGGGAGAUAAAGGCAAACGAAAGAAGCAUAUCACUAGAAAAGGGUCAGCUAUUGAGCAAGAUUUUUCUAAGCCGGAAGACGAACAACCCUUGAUUCACCGAUAGAAUAGGCUCAGGGAUAGACCUCAAUCAAAAUCUAUCAGAGUUACAUCAGCUGCAACUCCUCCGACUACCGAAACAGUGCCAGCCCCGGCACUAUCUUUAGUGGCCCCUGCACUCCUCAUAGCUCAACCUCCACCCAGAUUGCUGAACAGAUUGAAAGGCGAUGGUUUACGAACUAUUCGAGAAUAAAAGUUACUAUCUGUGGAGGGUUUGGAAGGUACGCAUGCUGAGGUGCCUUACACUCUCAAGUAUCAUGAGUUCGAGCAGUUCACCAGGCCACGGGUCCCUUACAUCCCUUCAUGGGUUCGGGAAUUCUACUUAAUCUAUGGGGAGUUGGUCCCAAAAAAUAAGAAAAAGGCUAGUGAGUUCCGACCGGUGAAGUCGAUUAUGAUUAGAGGCAAGGAGGUAGAGUGUCACAGUGAGCAUAUUAAUGAUGUACUAGGUCGACCGCUGCACUCGGUAUUGCCCUACAAAGGUUUGCCUAUCGUUCCGUCCCUGGAUGAUUUGAAGGGUUGGUUAGCUCCGAUGAUUUCUGACAUCACCCCGAGGUGGUUGGGUGCGGGAGCUUCGAUUGAGAAGAGGGAGAUGAACAUCGCCUCCAAGUACAUAUUUGGUUUCAUCAGAAGCACUAUCAUGCCAUCCCAGAACGAGUCCAUUUUACGUCAUCCUAAGGCGGCUUGCCUUGGUUCUAUCAUGGCCAGGAGGCAGAUCGACCUGGGACUGCUGGCUUCAUAGGAGAUGGCUAUGAGAGCCAAACAGACGCAGACAUUCUGCCUUUUCCUGUUCUGAUCACCAAGUUAUGUCGGCGUGCCGGAGUACCCUGGGAUCCUGCCAGCGAUAUAGAGGUCACCCCAUCUUCUUCCACCGAUAUCCGGUGUAUAGAGGCAGAGUUUACACGAGAGGAGGUUGACAGGAGGAGAGCAGCCCAAUAAAUACUUCUCCAAAAGUUGAUGUUGACUCAUUGCUAGCAGAGGCACCAUCAUCUACUCCGGCUUCGGAGCCUUUAGGUAUACCCGCUCCUUCUUCUCCUUCACAUACUCCAGGUACAUCCUCUUCCUACCAGCCUGUCAGGAUCACCCAGGCUAUGAUCCUGAAGAUGGGGCAGUUGGCGUAUUCAACUCAUGUGACAGCUACCCGACUAGAGAGGCCCAUUCCAAGGAUGAUCAACAGGGCCAUACUAGCAGCACUUACCCCACUUCAGACUGAUUUUGAUGCCCUGACAAUGAGAGUCAUUGCUUGCGAGAGCAGACAGGGGGAAGCCUCUGAGGUGGCAACUUUAAAAGUUAAGAUAGCGAGUUUGAGGAAGGAUGUAGACUACCUUAAGUCUACUGACUUCACUUCACUAAUAAGAGAGGGCAGAUGAUGAGGAUGUUCCUGAGACCACCGCAGAUGUGCAAGAGGAUGUCGCAGCACAUGCAGAGUUGGAUGUAGAGACUGAUGAGGAGUUGAUAUCAAUGGAUGCUAAUGAGACAUAGGAGAGAAGAGAUAAAGGAAUAUUCAGACACUUUCCAGAUCUUAUAGAGACGAUUGUGCAGCCGGUGAUCCAGACAUUGCCGACUUAGACGUCCGCAUCAGCUCCUAGCGGAUCUGGUACUUUUAUUCAGUCUGAGACUACUUCGGGCACUGAUGCCCAUAUACAGACUGCUCCAUCAGCCACUGAGACCCCGAUAGAGAGAGAGAGAGAAUACAUAGACAGGACCUUUUAUCACCUCCUCUCUGUCUUAUUAUAUUUUUUUUACUUUUGAUACUUUUAUUUGCAUUCGAGGAUAAAUUGCUUUUAUUUGUGGUGGGGUGAGGACCACACUUUUUGUGCUGAUAGUUGUGUUUUGUGUAUAUAUUUGUGUUGUUCUGUUUUAAAUUGUGUUAAAUACGGCUUUUCUGUGGAUGUUUAAGCUUCUGGCUCCUCUUAUUUUUAAUUGCAAAAUGAUUUUGACCCUUCCAAAUUUUUUUGAAUUUGUCGCACAUUUUUGCUACACCUCAUGAGUUGAAUGUGGUUGUUCUUUUACAAAAAUUUGAGUCUCCGUUUCGAUCAAUACCGAUGACUUAAAUAGUGCUUACAAUCGAACGAACAUGAAUGUAGGGCUACGAUGAGGCCAAAUGAAGUUGCAUAGACAAUAUGUGAACUCUUUGCAUCUCGUUGUGAUUAGCCAUUUAUCAAAUUGAUUCUCGUGUCAUGACUGUUGAACACUAGAGAAAGUGUGUAGUCUUGUUUGACUUAAGUGUCGAUGCCUUGUGUGAUGAGCUUACUUUGAACCAUUCAUAGAUAAACCUAGAAUUUACCCCAUUAGUAUGAUUUAUUUUGAAAGGUGUGCUCUUGAAAUGAUUUUAGGCAACUUUAAAGAGUGUGAGCCAAAUUUGACAUAUACCUCUUUUGUGGCCUACCCCUGAGCGUGUGAAACUCCCUUGAACACCCUUUAAGCCUUACCUCUUUGGAAGAACCUUGAUGAACCCUAGAUCUUACUUGACCCACUACCUAUAAUCCUCUUGAUUUGUGGUUUAGUGAAUAGCCAACUUAGGCCAAAAGCCUAAGUUGGGGGUGUGGUGAAAUGGAAAAGGAGAAAUCAGGAAGUGCAAGAAUAGUCCCCCUUAACCCCUGGUUUUGCAGAACAAUGGAAACCCUUUGAAAAGAAAUUAAAAAAAAUUGUGAAAUAAAGUACCAAAGAAAUCGGGUUUCCAAGCAAUCCAUGGAGGGAAUUCCUAAAAAGAUGACUUAGAAGCACUAGAAAAAGAAUUGAUAAAGAAAAAGAAGGGAAUUCCUUGAGAACAUCACAUCUCACGAGGAUAAAAAGUUACUAAGCUUAAAUGACUAUACCUUUGCACUCUGCCCCAUUACAAGCCUUAAAAAGACCUUUUUGAUCUUGAGUGAGCCGAACCGAAGAUCAAUUGGAAAAUAAGGGAAAGCCUAUGGGUGAAAACAUGCAUUGUGUUCCUCUUUUUGAGUGUGAGCGUUGCAUCUGAUUCCUGAUUUUGAAUUGAUUCACCUUUGUGUGUGAAUAUGGAAUCAUUCUUUAUGUGAGGGCAUUUGGAUACUUUUUGUUGAGCUUGAACUUGCACAAGUAGCAAGUAUUGCGAGCAUGAGAAUCUUUGGUAAUGGUGUGUUACAACUUGAAUCUUUGAGUAUACAGUUGAUCUUUGCAUGAGUAAUUUGAGUCUUGUUGUGUAUGUUCAUGAUUUAGUCUUGUGUAGCACUAUUUGAGACACCUUUUUGAACGACUGAACUUGAGUUUGCUUGAGGACAAGCAAAAGUUUAAGUUGAGGGUGUUGAUGAGUCCACAAAUUGGACUCAUUUAGGACUNNNNNNNNNNNNNNNNNNNNNNNNNNNNNNNNNNNNNNNNNNNNNNNNNNNNNNNNNNNNNNNNNNNNNNNNNNNNNNNNNNNNNNNNNNNNNNNNNNNNNNNNNNNNNNNNNNNNUGAUGAAAACUCUUAAGUUUUAGGUAUUUGAAGUUUUAAUUGAAGCAUGGACACUUAGGCGCAAAAAGGAACAAAAAGCCUGAAAAGAAUGAAGAAGCUGAAGCCUGAGCACCACCAAGCAUACUUGGCGAUUCGACGAAGGGACGCACUCCCCCAUUUGUUCCAGUACGCGAAGCCCUAAAGGAGAAGGAUAAAAAAGGCGAUGAAAAGAGCAGUCGGCGCUUCGCCGAAUAGUUCCGCGAAGCAGUACUAUGUCACCCAAUGACACAGAGCACGACGAUGCUGAAGGCUAGUGCAAGACGGCGACGAACUACACCAAAGGGCGAAUCGCCGAGUUAAUCAGCGAUUCCUUCUAACCUUGCCGAAAGAUCUGCCAGCACUAUUUUCUGAAGUCUAUAAAUACUAAAAUUGUUAUUAAUUUUUAAGAGUCGAACAUUUAUUUUAAUUUUCACAAUAGAAUAGUACUUUUUUGGAUAGUUUCUCUCAAGUUUGGGGAAGGUUUUUUGAGAGACUUGAAAAAAAAAGAAUUUCAUCAUCCCCAAGUUGGAAGUAAGUCUUCUCCAUUCUGCUUCCUUUGCUUAAAUCAAGGUUUAAUUCCUUAUACCCAUUUGAUUUUAGUAUCAUUAUAGGUCUAUUUUAUUAUUUCUUGAUGAAAAACUCCAUUCUUGGGGUGUAAUUUAGCAAAUAUGUGUUGAUAUUGUUGUUAGGUCUUGCUUGUUGAUAGGUUAGAUGUAUUUUAAUAGUGAUUUAACCUGGUGGUUGUGGUUUAAUUUAAUGGGUUUGUAGUUGCAAAUACAAAAUCACCCAUGUGUUUUUGGCUUGCCCAAAAGGGAGGUCGCGAAACCAAGACCGCUAGACUGAUGUCCUAAGGAGUGGCUCGACAUGAGGUUCAGCCCGAGAGGGUGAGCCCUAGUCCCAUAUCCUAACACUCAAGAGAGUGAGUGAGGUAAGACAUAGGCUGGCCUUCAUGCAGCAAAUAGGUGUCCGAGACGAACGCAUUUGAAACGAGGUAAGUUUCCCGAGAGGGAACUUAUUUCCAUCUAAAGCUUAGCCUAGUCACUAUUAUCUUGCAAAUUUUCUGUCGAAAGCAUGUACUCAAUGAUUUAUCUCAACUUGUAUUGCGGUCACACCCCAAGAACUUGUCCCCAUACUUGAUUUUCUUGUUAUUUUUGUUGUUUUUACUAUUUGUCACAAAACCCCCAUUUGAUAUUUGACACCUUUGUGUCACCCCUUUUAAUUUACAAUGUUUUUAAUCGUUAAUGUCUUUUGCUAUGACUAGUUAGAACUAAAUUUUAUUUUGGGUUAAAUUUGGAAAACCACUCCCUUGGGAUACGACCCCAACCCUUGGUUGGGUUACUAUAUUAUCAACGAUCAUAGACACUCGUACCGUAGGUUACUGUCGUUGGUCACGAUAAGCAUCAACCACCAUCCACCAUUUUAUUUACGGCCCAGCACACACUUUGCCGAUUAAUAUAACAGAGUAUGAUUAUAGGAUGGGGAUUGUGCAGACUGAUGCAUUUCAUAAGGACGCCGACCAGCGGGAGUCCCUACUUAUAUGGAUGGAGAGAACCCCGAGUGGGUGCGGGAUAUGACACAGCCAAUCCAGAAGGUGACAUUAAGUUUUGUUGCAAAAUUUUGGUGGUCCAUUGUCAGACACAAACAGUUCCUCACAUUGGCGGAUAAUGUUAUCACUUGGGAUCGUGCGAUAAUUCUUGCAGAACUUGUGGCAGGGCUCGAGGUAGACUUUGCUAGGAUGAAUAUUGCGGAGAUUCAUGAGAGGGUGUUCCGAUAGACCACCACUAUGCCCUUUCCAUGUUUGAUUUUCCAUUUCUGUAGGGAAUCUAUAGUCCCUCUUUGACAUUGUGACACGCUGACUGAGGUGACUAAGAUUGUUGAUGUCGGCCUCAUUAAAGAUGAUGCUAAGCCCGCUGCCCUGAGGAAAAGCAUACAAAUUGACUUACGUCCCAUUGCUGAUGCUGCUACUAUUGAUGCCGAGCAGGUUGCAGUAAAGCAGACAGAUGAUGAGACCACUCUUGACACUACUAUGAAUCCCGAUGUACUACCCCCUUUCCACUUCUUCCACAGAUCCUGUCAGAAAACCCCGUGCUUCCACCUCUUUGAGAUUUGCUUUGCUAUCAUUAGCCCGAGUCCAGAAGCUUGAGACUCAGAUGGCCACUCUUUUACAACAUAUGUGACCUUGGAUGAUGAAAUUUGUAGAGGAGUGAGAGGCACGAAAUGAGGCAGUUGUUGAGAGGAAGAUUCAGGUGGUACAUCUACGGAUAAACGCUUUUGACCUCAAGGUAUUGGAGAGGCCCUGGCCUGGGCGUAUUAAUGAUCUUACCAUAUUAUAGAUGAAGUUGCCUAGGCUCCGAGCUGAUGUUGACGCUCUUGCUGCUACUAUAGAGGCUGUGCCAGAGCCCACACUUGAGGUUAAGGAAGAUGAUAUGGUGCUGAGUGCACUAUUUGGUGAUGAGAUGCCAGCAUCUAACCCCCCUAUAGCUGGAAAGCACACCCACUCUUCUGAUCCCACUAGUGAUAUGGAUGAGUCUAGGCAGGACAAGAGGAGAGAACGACAACAGUUACAGGCAGGACAUCAACAGUCUCUAUUCUAGAAGGAUUUAUGGUUGCGGAGAGCACGAGACAUGGUUGGAGGUGCAUCUGGUUCGAGGAUCACUACAGAUGGUGAUCCCACUACUGUUGGGGUGCUACUGAGGGCACCACUUGUGAUUAUUCAGUGGGUUCCGGGACACCUUAUCCACCCACUUCUUUAUUGGUCUUCGGCGCUUAUGCUCCACAGGUUUGUCUCACCCUUUAUUUUACAUUUUUUAUGCAUUGAGAGCAAUUGCACCAUAUUUUCGUGAGGGUGGGAUGAAUGGAUUUUGAGUGUUAGUGUAAAGUUUAAGUAUCCCAACUCACAACCCUUCCUUUUGGUUUUCUUGCCUGUGUUUUUUUUUCUCCAAGGGAUUGUUUUAUAUUUCUGUUGAACCGACAUGUUUAGGAUUGUAUAAAUAUAGAAGUAGCUAAAAAUUAAAGCAUGAUGGCAUAAGAGCAUGAAAUUGAUACCCCUCCAAAUUUUCUUAUGUGUUAUAUCAAUGAGCUUGAUAAAGUUGAAUGUGUUGGAUCUUGAUAUGACAUGAUAGAAACAGAUUUGACAAACAUAACUUAAGCUAUAACUUGAACUUGGUGCAUUAAUGAUUUGAUAGUGAAACUGUGCCAAUGUCUGUGAGGUUGUUUGCAUUAUCAUAUAGUGUGUGUCAAUCUGGAACUUUCCCCAUUAGUCUUGCUAAGAUGAUCUAAACUGGAAAUUGGGAACUGAUCAUAGGCCAUUGUUUAAACUGAGGCCACUUAAGCCUAAAACAACCAACUAAAAGAAAUAGAUUCUUCCUUUGAUCCAAUGUUUAAGCCUAACGAAUACCAUUUCUUUUAAUACACCCAACUCGCCUUCCCUAAAAAUCUGUUUUGGCCCUGGUCCCUCCUUGGACAUUGUGCACCUCAACUCAGGCUAAAAGCCUAAGUUGAGGGUGGCUACUUCAGAAGCUACCAAAAUCUUGGCCCUGGUCCUCUAAAAGGGCAUUGUCCACCUGAACUAAUGCAAAAUACAUAAGUUGAAGUUGGCUCGGGUGAAGGAAAACUGUAAAAAGGGUAUGUAAAAGAGUUGAUUGCAAAAAAAAAGAAAAUGAGCAGAAAGGGUAGUGAAAGAUGUGACUGAAUCAAAAUGAAAUAAAGAGAGAAAAAACUUGAAUGAAAAAAAAUGAAAUGCGUAAGAAUGUCAAGUCACAGUCACACCGAUACCUGAAUGAAAUAUAAUAAGAAGAGUAGAAAAUCAAGAAAAUUGUCAACUUGGUUGUAAAAGAGGUAAAAUAGCCAAUGUAAUGGUAAGGAAGGAAGAAAAUUCCGUAAGUAACCAAAUGUACCACACCUCACCAUGAACCUAUGUUACAAGCUAAGAAAGUCCUAUAUUGAUCCUAGUUAACUAGUCUGGAACGUCAAAUAUGAGAAAAUAAGGGCAAGCUUAUGGUAUUGAGCACUAACUAUAUUUGAAUUCAUUUCUGAGUGUGAGUGUGUACAGCUUCCCAAAUUACACUAAAAAUGAAAUAUUGUGUGAAAAAGAGAUUUCUCUGUGGAAAGGGCACAAGUUACAUUGUUGAAGAGUUGGCAUCUUGGUGAUUGUUGUUUGUGUAUGUGAUGGUCUCUGUUGGUGUGAUGAUGUCAUGUUUUGAACCGCAUAAGUUAGCUUGUUGAGAAUAAAUGAAAGGAUUUGCACUGUGCUGAAAAAGAGUUGAAAAUGGCAAGUUGAUAGAAAAUGCCAAGUGAUUACUUGAAUUUGUAUGUUGCUUCUACAUAAGUGUUGUUUAGAGUUUGUUGUGUCGCUUGAGGACAACCAACGAUUUUAAGUUUAGGUUGUUGAUGUACCUUGAUCUUAUGGUAUUUUUGAUAUGUUAUACUUGAAGUUUGCAUGCGUCUUAGGCAGUUUUGUUAUUAGAUAUGAUUUGGUGUUUUGGUGUAAUUUUGCAGGAAAUCAGUUUGAAGCAGUUAAAGUUGAAUGUAGCUGAACCAGCGUGAUUUUGGCAACAGACGAGCCCAUCUACGAGCUGUCGUAUACUUGAAGUGUUGUAGGUGAGGCCAUAGGUGGAGUAUUUAAGGAAGUCUCACCAAGGGUGGAACCAUAAAGGCUAACAAUUCCCCGUAGUCUAAGUGCCGGACCGUGGAUGAUUGUUGUCAUUUGAUUCAGAGAAAAGAAGUUCUAGUACUUGAACAACAGAGGGACAUGUCGGACCCUGCAUAGAUCUAUGGGCCAUAGGUGAUGAUCGUCAUUUUGGGACCACAAGAUUUUGGCCAACAACAAAACCACGUAGCUAACGAUGGGCCAUUGGUUGAAUCACCGACCAUGGUGUGGCUGCCGUCGAUCGAAGCUGCUUAAACCAGAUUUUCCUAGGUUUUAUUUUCCUACUUGGUUUCUAUAAAUAUAAGUUGUAUUUUUGGUUUUUGGGUUGUUAGACCUUUUGCGAGACUUCACUUUUAGCUUUGGGAAUGAUUUUGCAAACUCUUUAGGAUUUAACUCUUAAAGUGUAUUUAUGCAAUAUGCUUUGGUUAUUCAAUUAAAGAUUUUAGAUUUCAUCUAUUCCAAUUUUAAGUUCAUGAUUUUUAUUGCAAACUCAAUUAUGAAUUGUGAUAACUCAAGCAUGAAUAACUAAAUCCACAACUAGGGUUGUGGGAACCAUUAGUAAUUAACAAUGUAAAACCAAUAACUAAGUAAGUUUUGAAUAAUGUUUAUGCAUGUAUUGUUAAUACUUCGUUUAGAAUGCUUUCUAAGGGUAUGCAACAUUAGAACUUGCCUCAUUCCUACUUUCCGGAACAAAAAGGUAACGAAUGAGAAAGGGUGUAAACAACAGAGAUUUAGACGUGAUAAUCUGCUAUCUAAUAGCUUUACCCACUUACUCUAAAGGCUAAUCUGGGGUUAAGGGUAAGGGUUAGUAAAGAAUACACCCGUAGACGGACCAAGUUGCAUGGUGAAAUUUCUUAUUUGGAGGACCAAUCACUUAGGAGAUACAUAACUUACCAACCUUGCAUGUUAACACUAGGAUAAAGUUAUUAUUAUUGGAAUUACUGCGUUAAGAACUUGUGGGGAAAACACGUACCCUAGUUUUCAUCUCAUAUUGAUAAUCCCAACUUUGAAUUGUGAUAACUUGUUACUUCAAAUCAAUCAACUAUUAUUUUCUUUAUAAAUCCCCCCUUUUUAUGGAAGUAGUUUGACUAAACAUAAAUAAUCGAAAGGUAGCCUAAGUCUAAACCAUAUUCCUCGUGGUAUCAACCCUAACCUAAAAUUUAUGUUCUUUAUUUGACAAUGACCGCUUAUACUUCUUUAGGAAGGUCUAAUUUGGGUGUAUCAGUUGCUUAAAAUUUGUGUGGCUAAACAUUGAAGUGCUCAGGGACUGUUGGGGGACUUCUAUUCUAGGUAAUUUUUGAGUUUUAGCUAUUGUCCUCUCUUCCUUUAACUUUAAUGGUUGUUUAAAUGCAUGGGCUGAUUCUGGGUUGUUCCGAGCCCCGAAUUGUGUUCCGUUUCGGGACACAAGUUCGGGGAGGUAAAGUGAAAUUUUUCACAAAGUCAAUUUCGGGUUUUCUAGUACAGGUCCCACAAUCACAUUUUACACCCGAUUUGGGGUCCCUCUCCAAAAAUGUGAUUUUUGUGUUAAAACAACCAUAUUGUUGUUGUGAUUCUAUUUUUGAUAGUACGGCAGCGUUCCGAGGCCGUAUUGAAGGGAGAAGAUCGGACAACAUGAUUUGGAGCGCGAGCGGUUGGCCUACAAGUAGGCUAUGACUUCCCUAUCCUUAGAUUGAGAAGGAUUAAUUUAUUGUAUGUUGAUUUUGUAUGAAUUUGGGGUUGAAUUGGUGGUUAAUCAUGUUAAAUUCCAAGAAUUCAUGCCUUAGGCUACUUUUUGGGUAUUCCGGGCGGUUGAAGCAUGUCUAUUGUAUUUAUUGAUCAUCCUCACAUUAUGGUGUCCUUCUUUGUGAUUUGUGAAUAUCUUUGAAGCAUGUUUGGCCUUAUUCUAGGCUUAGUCUAGUGAUUUCCAUAGAAUUGUGUCCUUUUGGAGCCGUUAGGCCUUGUAAUCUUUCUAUAGUCGCUUCGGAUGGCUUAGCUCCCUAUAGACUGAUGUAGCAGAUCUGAGUCUGAUAGUUUGGGCCUUAGCUAAGCAGUAACACCUUUCUUGGAACCAUAUAUCCAUAAAUCCUCUAUUUCUGUUGGUUCUGGUUCAUCGGUCCUGGUUGGAUAUGGUUCAAGAUGGAAUGAUUUAUUGAUGGCGCUCAGAUUGGGAGUACUUCCUGUGAUGCACGGUUGGCUGCUGAUCCUAUUUCUAGAUGAUUAACCUCUAUUCGUGGAUCAAGACCCCAAUUCACUCCACCAGGCGUGGUUCAAGUCCUCUACUUGGUAUUAUAGCCUUGGUUAAAAUCUUGGCCUUCUUUAGCCAUGGUUCAAGUCCACUGCUCCUUACAACUUGGUUAAAAUCCAUAGCUACUUUCACCUUCAUUCAAGUCCUUGGUCAUAUUUAGACGUGGUCCAAGGUCAAUAUUAUCCUUAGACCUAGUUCAAGUACACGCUUACUCAAAAUCUAGGUUCAAGUCCUUGAUCCUCCAUCUUCAAUUCGGUUCAAGUCCUUAACCCCCUAUUAGUUUUGGAUGAUCUUCAGGCAUAUGGAUUGGCUCGGUUUGAGUCUGCAAAAAGUUGUGGAAAUCUUGGAAACUUCGUCAGGUCCUCUUAUUCCAUUCUAAACUCUUCUUUGUACCUGUCGGGCUUAUUGGAGUCCAUUCGGGUUUUACUUUUAUCUUGUGCACAAGUGUACUUGUCAGAUUUAUGGGAGCGAAGUCGGAUUUAGUUAGUUAUUCUCCUUUUCUUUGUGUGCUAGUACACUCAUAUCCAUACCUCUUAGAUUUCUCGUUCCUGUUUCUGGUAGUGUUUUAGAUUCUCCAAAUUCAUAUUAAUUUUUCUUUUCUUGCUCAGUCGACCUAUGAGGCUGAUAAAAAUACAUUAAUACCAAUACAAAAUGGACCUAGACACACACAACUCUUAAGUGAAAUGUAUUAAAAACACCGUAAACUCACGGUAUAUCAACACCCUCAACUUAAAUUCGUUGUUUGUCCUCAAGCAACGCACUAAGACUCUAAAUGACACUUGUAUAGAACCAAGCAUCCAAGCACAAGCAAUCACAUGGCUCUCUAUCCCGACUAUCUUUCGAGUGCAAUUUUUUUGUCUUAGACUCAACAAGCUAACUCAUGUGGAUCAAAAUAUGACAAAGAUCGACCAAUCAACACACAACAUACGCUGGUUUGCUAUCACCAAGGUACCAACAUUCCGACAAUGCAACUAGUGCUCUCACUUCAAACGAAAUCCCUUUUUCACACAAUGAAUAUAAUUUUGAGUAUAAGGAUUCAUUCAACACUGACACUCAGAAGUAAUUUCAAGUACAGUUAGUGCUCAGUACCAUAGGCUUUCCCUUAUUUCCACUUUUUAGACUCUCCAAACUAGUUGCUAGGAUCACUAUAGGACUUUCUUAGCUUGUAACGUAGGCUCAGGGUCAGGUGUGGUACAUUUGGGUACUUUUUAGUGACUUUCUACCCUCCUUGACAUUACAUUGGUUUUUUACCUCUUCCUGGACCUAUUUUUGGCAUCCUUCCAUUUUAAGCUCUUUCCCUUAUUUCUUUGCAACAUGGAUGUGACUUCUGACUUUUUGACUCUUAUUUUUCACUUUCUUCUUUUUCUUUCACUUUCUUUUUCUUUUAUUUCUUUCAACACUUUUCUUUUGCACAAAGUCACAUCCUCUUUCAUAUUUUUUCUUUUUUCAACACUAACCUCUUUUCAUACCCUUUUUUAGUAAUUUGGUUUCCUUUUUCAUAGCCACCCUCAACUUAUGCAUUUUGAAUUAGUUCAGGUUCACAAUGUCCGAUAUCGGACCAGGGCCAAGAUCAAGGUAACUUUUAGGCUUAGCCACCCUCAACUUAAGCUUUUGGCCUAAGUCAAGGUUCACAUGUCCAAGGAGGGACCGGGGCCAAUACAAUGUUUUUAAGGGAAGGUGAGUUAGGUGAAUCAAAAGAAUUGGUCAAUUUCAGGCUCAAAUAUUUGGAUCAAAAGGGAAUAAUGCUAUCAUUUGGUUAGAUCAUUUUAGGCUCAAGUGGACUAAUUUGUACAAUGGCCUAUGAUCACUUCUUAACUUCUAGCCUAGAUUAUCCUAGCAGGACCAACGGGGCAAGUUCUAAAUUGGCACACAACUGUCUGAGCAAUCAAUCAUUCUCACACACUCUUGGCACAUUGUCACAUUAUAAGGUUAUCAAUUACCCAGUUCAUGUUUUUGCUUAAGUCAUAUGGUCAAGUUGGUUCUUUAUCAUGUCAUACUCAGAGCCAACACAUUCAACUCAUUCCAGUCUAUAGAUUCUAGCACAUAUCACAAAUUUUGGACGGGGAUCAUUUUUUAUUAAUAACUAUGCCACCAUGCUUCAUUCUUUCUCAUGCUUCUACACAUACAUUCCUAACACAUGCCGAUUCAAUAGAAAUUAAAGCAGUUUCUUGGGGAAAAAGAACACAGGCAAGAAAACCCCAAGAGAGGAUUAUGAGUUGGGAUACUCAAACUUCACCCUAUCACUCACAAUCCAUUUACCCCACCCCCAACAAAAUAGAGUGCAAUUGUCACCAAUGCACAAAAAUAAGCAAUAAAGAGUAGGGUGAAGGUGAAGCAAAACCUGUGGCGCAAAUGCGCCGAAGACCUCAACAAGCGGGUGGGUCCGGUUUCCCGGAGCCCGCUGGAACAACACUUGGGUCACCCUCAGUAGUGCCCACGUCCUUUAUCAUAACACCAUCAGUAGUGCUAUCAGUCACUCUAACUGCACCAUCAUUAGUGCUAUCAAUCAUUCUAAUUGCACCAUCAAUGGUGCUAACAUCAUCUCACACAACAAUCAUGGCCUCAAUGGUGGGCCUAGAAGUUAAGGCUCCAAUAAUACUCUCGCGAGUCCUCUGCUGGCGCAUCUCCUCAUCUAUAAUGGAAACCUUUCUAGCCUGCUCAUUCUGCUAACCCUCUCGCUUCUUUGAUCGGGCCUCCUCAUUUGUGUCAGAAAUGCCUCUUUCCUCGAGCACGGGUCGGCUCGGGCUAUGCUAUCUCUUUGCUGAAUAAAGGACCAAGCACUGUAUCAUCAGCUAAUACAUUAUGUGCAGACUCUGGCUCAUCUGUGGGUGGGGCAAUAAUUGCAUCAAGGUCAGCCCAGAGACUGUCUAACUCGGUCUGGAAAGAUUACAGAUCUGUAGUAAGGGCUGGUCGCUCGAGGACUCCCAACUCAAAGGCAUCCAUGCGCUUAUGAACAAUCGGGACCUUCUGGCCCAUCAUGGUCUCCAUCCUUGCCUCGGACUCUACAAUAGACUUCUGUAUCCAUGGCUUCAUAUGAUGAAGCAGUGUGGCCAUUUGUGCCUCCAAUUUCUGAACUCGGGCCAAGAGUACAACAACAGCUCCAGAAGGUGGGGUGGCUCUGGACGAACUAGGGGACCGACUGGCAGCUUGAGAUGGGGAGCCUGGGGCAUUAUUAAUGUGGGCUGGAGGGGCAGGGUCAUCACCUUGUAUCUGCUCCACAUCAACUACUAAAUAUACUCUUAAUGGCGGCACCUCAAUCUGUGGGCCACAUCAUGGGGCAACUACAUUGGCCGCAUCCUGAAUAAGGCCAAUAUCAAGUGUCCCGAUCACCUAGACCAAGUUGUCACAAUGCCAGUUAGUCACCCCAGCAUCCCUGCACAAUUGAAAAAUCAUACAGGAAAAGGGUGAUUUUUUGGGCCUUCACCCUCUUCUCAUUCAACAUCAAGGUGUCUCUAUAUAUUUGCCAUUGACCCUCUACACACCACCUAUUAGGCUCCUCAGCAACCGAAGGAGGGUCUAUGUUAGGUGGCACAGAAACCAACCGUCAACUAGUAGCCUCAUCAGGCGAGGAAUCUUGGCCAUGUGAAGAUUCCCUAGGUCGGUGGAACUUUAUACAUAUCAUCUUCUUCGACUUUUCUUCAAUUUUUCUUCAUUUUCCUUAGUGAAGAACCAGAAAACUCACAAAACCUACAAAACCCACUUCUAGGACAAGCCAAGUUACUGAUUUUUGUGACUUAAGUCCUUUGACAAAAGUUGUUCUAUGCGUUGAGCUCGUCAACAUGGUAUAAUUUGUUUUAUCGAUUUCCUAGCAUAUCGUACUUUGGUUUGUGGACAGCAGGGGUUUGGGCAUAUUUUCAUGUUUUGAGGUGUAUUACAAACUUAUAAUCAAGGUAUGACCCUUCCUUCUUCGACUCUAGCUUUGAUAAGUCACAAAUAGAAAUUUACGACGGAAAUACAUAUCUUUUAUCAGAUUUUCGUUGUAUCUUCUAUUCUUUUGUGUUGAUUAUGAUCCUUCCUUGCUGUAGUAUCAAGGGGGGUUGUGAUUAAAGUUAUUAGGACACGUGAAUUCAGCGAAAAAGAUAUGUUAAGGCUAUUCCCUACUUACGACAUGUUUCCUUAAAGCUUAGAAGCAAUGUAUUUGGGUUGUUAUCCUUGAUAUACUUGUAGCCGUGAUUGUUGAUUAUUGGCUGCUCAAGUUGAUAUAAUCCUCACUUGUCAGGAUUCUUAUUUAGUUAGUAGCCUCCCUAUGUUGGAAAUGACUUAGAGGCUAUUUGUAUAGGUUGCUUAUAACUAAAUUGCUCGCUUUUAGCGAUAGGAUUGUUAUUGUUGCCUUUGGGGCUAUUGUGGUUAGCUGCAGGAAUAUAAUAUAUAACUAGAAGGGCUAUGUACAGGGCUAUAUGGAUGCCUAAAAGGGCUAUGAGUUGCCUACGGGGCUAUAUUGAUACCUAGAAGGGCUACGGGUUGCCUACAGGGCUAUAUUGACGCCUAAGAAGGCUAUGUUUCCUACAGGGCCAUGUUGUUGCCUAAGAGGGCUAUUAGUUGUCUAUAUGCUAUGUUAUUGCCUAAGAGGGCUAUGUGACUGCCUACGGGGAUUGGGGACUACCGAUAGGGAUAUAUAGGUUGAUUGGCACCUUCCGAGCUUAUGGGGGCCUGAGUAGGUGAUCUUGUGUGUUAUUUGUACCUGCUGAGCUUAUGGGGGUUUUGUUAGGUUGUUGUUUUAUUAUUUUUGAUAAGUUUAGAUUGAGGAGCAGGUCAGUACACUUAUCUUAUCCUUGAUAUAUUUAUCAGAUUAUUCCAGUUUAUCAGGAUAUCUCAUCAUAGUAUAUUGCCUUUCAUACACUGUACAUUAUUUUGUACUGACUCCUCAUUGCCUUGGGGGCGCUGCAUUCAUGCAUGCACGUCCUGACAGACGACCGAGUAGACCUCCUCAGCAACAAGAUUGACUUUUAUCCGAUUGGCUAGCCCCUUUCCUCCGGAGCUGCCAGAGUUGGGAGGUUUGUUACCUUUUGUUGUAUGUAUUUUUAUGGGUAGGCUGGGGCCCUGUCCCUCUAAUAUUUACUACUCUUAGAGGCUUGUAGACUAGUGUUUAGGGUGUAUAGCUACGUUAUGGCCAUACUGGCCUAUGUUGUUCGUUUUGCUGAAGCUUGUGAGCUGUUUUGAUGUAUUAUAUUGAUAUAUACCUACUUUUAGUUUUGGUAUAGAUAUCAUGGUGGCCUCGAUAGCCCAAUCAGGACUUUUGUGUUAGUUGGCUAUUUAUUUAUAUGAUCUUCUGGGAGUAGCUAUUUCUUUUAUAGAUGAGUUGACAGGGACCUUGCCGGCCAAGGGCUUAGUUUUAAGCCGAGAUAUACCUGUUUGUAGCAAAUGGUUUAGCAGGGUCGGCUCGGGCCUUUGUUUUGGCAAUAGGAGCCAGUUGCGCCCCUCGAGUUUGGGGCGUGACAAACUUGGUAUCAGAGCAAUGUCGUAUCUGAGGGAGUCUGCAAGCCAUGUCUAGUAAAGUCUUGUUUAUAAAUGUGUUGUGCACCACAUCCGAAAAACAAGAAACUACCGUGCAUGUUAGAAUGACUAUCCUUCUUUUUCUCACCUCGUGCUAUAGAGAGGUGUCUUAAGGGUUAAGGUUUCUGGUUUAUAAUUGAUACUUGUAUGCAGAUAGAGAUGACUAACACUAGACAGACCACAACUAGAUAGGGGUUAGAUAUAACUGCAAGCGAGGGUACCGGCAAGGUACCACAGGUGGAGGUAGCCCAUUUUGAGAUCCAGGGGGAGACAUCUUCUCAGCUCCCUAUAGCUUCUCCGCAGCUUAAGGAGCCUCCGAGGGCUACAGGACUUCCGGCUCCACCAAUAGUACCACCUCUAGUUCCUCAUAUUCCAUCGAUCAGGAUUUCAAGAGUGCAGUAUAUAUGUUAGCACAGUUAGUAGCUGCACAGUGCCAACCAGUUGCGCCAGAUGUUGCCGGACCUUCUGAAGGGCCCGAAAGUUCGAGAGUUCGUGAAUUUCUUGCCUUGAAUCCUCCACAGUUUACAGGGACAGAUCACAGAUAAGACCCUCAGCAAUUUGUUGAUCAGCCACAUAGGAUCUUCAGAGUAAUACAUGCCUCAGUGAUUGAGUCAGUUGAGUUAGCAGCAUUUCGAUUGACGUUGCUGUAUUCUGGUAUGAAAGUUGGGAGAUAUCUAGGGGAAAAGAUACAUCUCUACCCACUUGGAAUAGCUUUACAGAAGCUUUCAUAGAUCACUAUUUGCCUCGAGAGAUUAAGGAUGGCAGGGUGGACCAGUUUUGAACCUCCGACAGGGUGGCAUGAGUGUCCGAGAGUACGAGUUGAGAUUUGAUUCAUUGGCUAGAUAUGCACCAGCAUUUGUUGAUACGAUGCAUGACAGGGUGCGUAAAUUUGUAUGAGGGCUUGACUCAGACUAUAUCGAGGCUUGUUCUACCGCUGCGCUAAAUGAUAAUAUGGAUAUCUCGCGGAUUCAGGCCUUAACACAAGGCAAAGAGGAUCGCCGACAUCUACAGUAUACGAGUGAGAGGGUCGAGAGAGAGAGACAAAAGAGGGCUAGGCCCGUUGGUUCGCAGGGAGAUUUUCAGGGUGGUCCCAGACCCUGAUAUUUUAUUAGGCCACCUAGACCUCCACUAUAGUAGUUCCAGGGUAGUAGAUUUGAUCGUUAGGAAUAGUCAGUCCCAAGUGAAGGUUCACGAGCAUCAGGCUCGCAGCAGCAGAGGGGUUUAGGCCAGGAAACGACAUCCCCGCCACGUUGCAUUACUUACGGUAGGAUGCAUUUCGGGAGGUACAGACAGUGUUCCACAAGUUGUUAUUCUUGUGGACAGGAGGGGCAUGGUUGGAGAAACUGCCCUACCAUAGGUCUGGGUGGUAUAGGUCAGUCGACCAGGUCAGCAAUAGGUUUCUCCUCAUAAGCACAGUCUACAGGGCGUGGACUCCAGACUUUAGCAUGUAGGGGUAGAGAUGGAGGCAGAGAAGGAGCAUCUAUUUCUGGUAGUGGACAGAAUAGUACAUAUUCAUUAACCGUUCGACAAGACUCAGAGUCAUCACCAGAUGUUGUGAUAGGUAGAUUGAUUAUUUGCUCCCAUUGUGUUUAUGCUUUAAUAGAUCCUGGAUCUACUUUGUCUUAUGUUACUCCAUUUAUUGUGGGGAGGUUAUGUAUAGUAACAGAAUCAUUAGAUCGGCCCUUUAUUGUAUCUACACCAGUUGGUGAGUCUAUUAUUGCCAGGAGAGUCUAUCGAGGUUGCACAGUAGAAAUUAUCGACCGUCAGACCUCUAUAGAUCUCGUAGAGUUAGAGAUGGUUGAUUUUGACGUCAUUAUGGGUAUGGACUGGUUAGCUUCUUGUUAUGCUAAUGUUGAGUGCCGGACAAAGAUUGUUAGAUUCCACUUUCCUGGAUAGGCAGUUCGGGAAUGGAAAGGCGAUACAACAAUGCCGAAAGGUAGGUUUAUUUCCUAUCAUAAGGCGAGGAGGAUGGUUACCAAGUGUUGUAUUUAUCAUCUUGGUCACGUUCAUGAUAUAGAUGCAGAACCACCAACUCUUCAAACUUUUCAGUCUAUUCUGGUAGUUAAUGAGUUUCUAGAUGUAUUUUCCAGACGAACUCCCUGGUAUCGCUCCAGAACGGAAAAUUGAUUUGCUAUCGAUAUGCUACCAAGUACACAACCCAUAUCUAUCCCUCCUUAUAGAAUGUCUCCUGUUGAGCUAAAGGAUUUGAAGGAUCGGCUGAAAGACUUGCUGGAUAAAGGCUUUAUUAGGCCUCGUGCUUUACCAUGGGGUGCACCAGUGUUGUUCGUAAGGAAGAAAGAUGGGUCACUAAGAAUGUGUAUCGAUUACCGACAGUCGAAUAAGGCAACUAUAAAAAAUAAGUAUUCCCUUCCGAGGAUAGAUGACUUGUUUGAUAAGUUACAAGAUGCUAAGUGUUUCUCAAAGAUUGAUUUAAGAUCAGGGUACCACCAGAUACGAGUUCAGGAGAAAGACGUUCCAAAGAAAGCUUUUAGAACUAGAUAUGGAUACUUUGAGUUCUUGGUAAUGUCUUUUGGAUUAACUAAUGCCCAGCAGUGUUCAUGGACCUGAUGAAUAGUAUAUUCAGGUCGUAUCUGGAUUUUUUUGUGAUUGUAUUUAUUGAUGAUAUUUUGGUGUAUUCACAUUCAAAAGAUGAGCAUGUAAAUUAUCUGCAAGCAGUCCUUCAGGUUCUUCAAGACCGAGAACUUUAUGCAAAGUUUUCUAAGUGCGAGUUCUGGUUUGACUCUGUAGCUUUCUUAGGCCAUAUUGUAUUAGAUGCAAGCAUUGCGGUUGAUACACAAAAGAUUGAAACCGUAAAGACUUGCCCCAGACCCAUGACUCCGACUGUGGUUUGUAGUUUCUUAGGGUUAGUUGGGUACUACAAAAGGUUUGUAGAGGGUUUUCUUCAAUUUCAGCCCCAUUAACGAAGUUGACUCAAAAAUCAGCUAAGUUCCAGUAGACUGAGGCUUGCGAGCAUAGUUUCUAAGAGCUGAAGGAUAGGUUGACAUCAGCACCAGUUCUUGCAUUGACAGAAGGUUCAGAAGGCUAUGCAGUGUAAUGUGAUGCUUCUGGUGUUGGGUUGGGAUGUGUUCUAAUGCAACAUGGUAAGGUUAUCACAUAUACUUCAAGGCAGUUGAGAAAGCAUGAGAAGAACUAUCCGACCCACGAUUUAGAGUUGGUUGCAGUUGUGCAUGCGCUAAAGAUCUAGAGACACUAUUUUUAUGGCGUUCAUGUUGACAUCUUCACAGAUCAUAAAAGCCUUCAAUAUAUCUUUAGACAGAAGGAGUUAAAUCUGUGACAACGUUGACGGCUUGAGUUACUGAAAGACAACGACGUGGACAUUUUAUAUCAUCCAAAAAAAGCGAAUGUGGUAGUUGAUGCCCUCAGUCGAAGACCAAUGGAUAGUUUAUCAUAUUUAGAUGUUGAGAAGUGUGAGCUAGCGCGAGAGCUUCAUCAUUUAGCUAGCUUGGGAGUCAGAUUGUUAGAGGAAGAAGAUAGUGGCGUAAAAAUUCAGGACACAACCGUAUCAUCUCUAGUUGUAGAAGUAAAAUCAGUGCAACAAGAGGACCUUAGCUUAGAGCAGCUCAGGGCCAAGGAUCUGAAUCAAUAAACUUUAGCAUCUGAUAUAGCAGGAGAUGGAGUCCUUAGAUAUAGUGGUUGAUUGUGUGUUCCGAAUGUUGCAAGGCUUCCACAUCGGAUUAUGGAAGAGGCACAUCAUUUCCGUUAUUUUAUUCACCCUGGUUCGAAAAAAAUGUACCAUGAUAUUAAGGAGAUCUAUUGGUGGCACGGGAUGAAGAAGGACGUUGCUGAGUUUGUAGCACAAUGUUCUAACUGCCAACAGGUGAAGUUGAGCACCAAAAGCCCGCUGGGCUAAUUCAGGAGAUAGCCAUUCCUUUGUGGAAGUGGGAAGUAAUUAAUAUGAAUUUUAUUAUAGGGUUACCUAGAUCGCGUCGCAAGUUUAACUCUAUUUGGGUAAUUGCUGAUAGACUAACAAAAUCAGCCCACUUCUUACCAGUCAGGGCUACUUUUAUGGCCGAAGACUAUGCAGAACUCUAUAUUAGGGAGAUUGUUAGGCUACACGGUGUCCCAAUAUCUAUUAUCUCUGAUAGAUAAGCACAAUUCACCGCAAUUUCUGGAAGUCCUUCUAGAAAGGACUGGGGACACAUGUUAAUCUUUGUACAACCUUUCAUCCUCAGACAGAUGGCCAGGCUCAGUGCACAAUUUUGACACUCAAAAAUAUGUUACGGGCGUGCGCGCUAGAUUUCAAGGGACGUUGGGAUGACCAUUUGCCUCUUAUAGAGUUCACAUACAAUAAUAGCUAUCAUUCCAGCAUCGGGGUGGCACCUUAUGAGGCUUUGUAUAGGCGAAAAUGUAGAUCCCCCAUUGGAUGGUUUGAGGAAGGUGAGUCAGGGUUGAUUGGACUCGACUUAGUACAGCAGACAUUGGAGUAAGUUAAGCUCAUUCCGGAGAAGUUGCUAACAGCUCAAAGCCGACAGAAGUCAUAUUCAGAUGUGCGACGAAGGGACUUGGUGUUUUGUGUCGAUGACUGGGUAUUCUUAAAAGACUCGCCUAUGAAGGGUGUUAUGCAAUUUGGCAAAAAAGGAAAGCUUAGUCCAAGAUUCAUUGGGCCAUAUCAUAUCCCUCGAAGGGUAGGACGAGUGGCUUAUGAGUUAGAAUUUCCUUCGAGGCUAAAAUAUGUUCAUCCAAUUUUCCAUGUAUCGAUGCUACGGAAGUGCGUAGGAGACCCUUCUCGGGUUGUCCCAAUUAAGGAUGUUCAAAUCACAGAAGAGUUGUCCUAUGAGGAAACUCCAUUUGCCAUUUUAGAUCGACAGGUCCGUAAAUUGAGGACCAAAGAUGUGGCUUCGGUUAAAGUAUUGUAGAGAAACAAGAAUAGAGAAGAGGUGACUUGGGAAGCUUAGGAUGGCAUGAGGUCCAAAUAUCCUCACUUGUUUCAUACCCUAAAGUGAUGGCAUAGCAGUUUAUAUUAGGGAAGUAAGGUAAGAUACCUAUUUGAUUUAUAUAUAUAUAUAUAUAUAUAUAUAUAUAUAUAUAUAUAUAUAUAAUUGCUUAUUAUUAUUAUGGUUGUCAUUGUAUAUCUGCUCACACUGUUAUGGUGGAGCUAUAGGGCUUAGCUAUUUAUAUCAUCAUGUGAGACGCCUAGGUUAGAAAUUUUGCAGUUUAAGUUCUUGGAUAGUGACAUCUACAAAGGGUACAUUGCCUAAAAUUUGGCAAUUCCUAAGGACUGAACCGCGUGACUCAGAUUUUUCAUUCGAGGAGGAAUGUUUCUAAGGUGGGAUGGAUGUAACACCCCGACUUUUCGAAACGUACAAAUUGACUUGUAUCUUCGUGGAAACACCAGGAGGGUGGGUAAUAAAUUCAGAAUGAUUUAUUAUAUGAUAUUUUAAGUGUUCAAGUGUUGUAUCUCAAGUUUUGAAGUUAGGUAAGUGGCAAAAUAAAAGUUGGCGAAAGUUACCGUAAAUUCCUUUUUAAAGAUUUGUCUAAAAUUUGGGUCAAAUGUCUCGGACGGUUUCUCCCAAUAUAUUAAAAGUUAUGAUCCCCGCUACCUAUGAAAUCGAAUGUCUACGAGUCUAGUUUCCAACGCAUCAACCCGUUUGUUCAUACGACUUCAGAAUGGAGAGAUAUUAGCGUUUUUGCAAGACUGUGCAAGCAUGCAGGUGAGGUAGGUCCCCUAGAUCGGUGGAACUUUAUAUAUAUCAUCUUCUUCGACUUUUCUUCAUUUUUCCUUCAUUUUCCUUAGUGAAGAACCAGAAAACUCACAAAUCCAACAAAACUCACUUCUAGGACAAGCCAAGUUACUGAUUUUCAUGACUUAAGUCCUUGAAAAAAGUUGUUCUACGCGUUGAGCUAGUCAACAUGGUAUAAUCUGUUUUAUCGAUUUCCUAGCAUAUCGUACUUUGGUGUGUGGACAGCAGGGUUUUGGGCAUAUUUUCAAGUUUUGAGGUGUAUUACAAACUUAUAAUCAAGGUAAGACUCUUUUUUCAUCGACUCUAGCUUUGAUAAGUCACAAAUAGCAAUUUGCGACGGAAAUACAUAUCUUUUAUCAUAUUUUUGUUGUAUCUUCUAUUCUUUUGUGUUGAUUAUGAUCCUACCUUGUUGUAGUAUCAAUGGGGGUUGUGAUUAAAGUUAUUAGGACACAUGAAUUCAGCAAAAAAGGUAUAUUAAGGCUAUUCCCUACUUACGGCAUGUUUCCUUAAAGCUUAGAAGCAAUGUGUUUAGGUUAUUAUCCUUGAUAUACUUGUAGCCGUGAUUGUUGAUUGUUGGCUGCUCGAGUUGAUAUAAUCCUCCCUUGUCAGGAUUCUUAUUCAGUUAGUAGCGCCCCUAUGUUGGACACGACGUAGAAGCUAUUUGUAUGGGUUGCUUAUAACUAAAUUGCUCGCUUUUAGCGAUUUGAUUGUUAUUGUAGCCCUUGGGGCUAUUGUGGUUAGCUAUAGGAAUGUAAUAUAUGCCUAGAAGGGCUAUGUAUAGGGGUAUAUGGAUGCCUAAAAGGGCUAUGAACUACGGGGCUAUAUUGAUGCCUAGAAGGGCUAUGAGUUGCCUAAGAAGGCUAUGUGCUUCCUACAAGGCCAUGUUGUUGCCUAAGAGGGAUAUAGUUGUCUAUAAGCUAUGUUAAUGCCUAAGAGGGCUAUGUGACUGCCUACUGGGAUAGGGGACUACCGAUAGGGGUAUCUAGGCUAAUUGGCACCUUCCGGGCUUAUGGGGGCCUGAGUAGGUGGUCUUGUGUGCUGUUUGUACCUGCCGAGUUUAUGGAGGCUUGGUUAGGUUGUUGUUUUAUUAUUUUUGAUACGUUUAGAUUUAGGAGCAGGUCAGUACACUUAUCUUAUCCUUGAUUUAUUUAUCAGAUUAUUUUAGUAAAUCAGGAUAUCUCAUCAUAGUCUAUUACCUUUCAUACUCUGUACAUUAUUUUUUACUGACGCCCCAUUGCCUUGGGGGUACUGCAUUCAUGCAUGCACGUCCUGAUAGACGACUGCGUAAACCUCCUCAGCAGCAAGAUUGACUUUUAUCUAAUUGGCUAGCCCCUUUCCUCCGAAGCUGCCAGAGUUGGGAGGUUUGUUACCUUUUGUUGUAUAUAUCUUUAUGACCGGCUGGGGCCCUGUCCCGCUAAUCUUUACUACUCUUAGAGGCUUGCAGACUAGUGUGUGGGGUGUAUAGCUACGUUAUGGCCAUACUAGCCUAUGUUGUUGGUUUGCUGAAGCUUGUGAGCUGUUUGAUGUAUUAUAUUGAGAUAUACUUGCUUUUAGUUUUGGUAUAGAUAUCAUGGUGGCCUCGACGGCCUAAUCAGGACUUUUGUGCUAGUUGGCUAUUUAUUUAUAUGAUCUCCUGGGAGUAGCUGUUUCUUUUAUAGAUCAGUUGACAAGGGCGUUGCAGGCCAAAGGAUUAGUUUUAAGCCGAGAUAUUCUUGUUUGUUUUCUUGAUUGCGUGUGGCUACCAUGCGCUAGUAGCAAAUGGUUCAGCAGGGUCGGCUCGGGCAUGAGUUUUGGCAUUAGAAGCCAGUUGCGCACUUCGAGUUUGGGGAGUGACAAAGUAAACCAAUAACACACUUAAAAAAAUUUUAGAACGAAGAACGAACCCAAAGGAAAACAAAAAAAAAAA